rnacentral:rRNA from 1 species
UGGUCCUACGGGGGGCAGCAGUGGGGGAUAUUGCACAAUGGGGGAAACCCUGAUGCAGCGACGCCGCGUGGGCGAAGAAGUAUUUCGGUAUGUAAAGCCCUAUCAGCAGGGGAGAAGAAAUGACGGUACCUGAGUAAGAAGCACCGGCUAAAUACGUGCCAGCAGCCGCGGUAAUACGUAGGGGGCAAGCGUUAUCCGGAUUUACUGGGUGUAAAGGGAGCGUAGACGGCAGUGCAAGUCCGGAGUGAAAGCCCGGGGCUCAACCCUGGGACUGCUCUGGAAACUGUAAAGCUGGAGAGCGGGAG